ACCAGAGCAGCGCUGCCCGCUUGGCCUCGCCACGUCCGGCCCGAGCGCUGCCACCCCCGACACUGCAGGCAUUAAAUGCCACUAUCCAGCGGCGACACAGAUUCCUCCGGAUAACUUGGGGGCCGCGUGCCUUCCGAAGAGGGAACGCCGGAACAAGCCCCGACAGGCGAGGGGCGAGCGGGGGCAGGGAGGUCGGAAGACUCCCUGGAGCAGCUGAGGCUUCCCUUCGCGAUAGACGAAAGGAGUUCCCAAAAGGAGAGUUCGCUGUGCAGUCCCAGUCCCGGCGAGAGCAGAAUUUGGUUCCACGAGUAUUUGCUCCUCUGGUUUUGCUCAUUGGAAUCCAUGGGAAAAUCACCCUGGAAAAAGCCCUUAAAUCAACCCAGCUGGACACAUGUGCUGAUGGCCCUAGGAAGCUGCAGAAGUACCUCUCCAAAAGGAUGAAGCCGUCUUGGGGGCCAGGGUGCUGUCCUGAGAUGGGAGCGUUUCCUAGGCUGAGGAAGAGCCUGGCAGCCCCACCGGGAAUGCCUAAGCCCUCAGCUGCCCCCAGAGCUCCCUCCUUAGCACCUGGAGCAAAAUGAACAUCAGUGAACAUUUUCUGAAAUGUGUGAGGAGUGAAAAAUUAUUGAUCAAAUAAGACCAAAACAGAGCCCCUCCUUUGCCAAACGAAGAAGCAAACUUUGUAUAAUUUAAAAAUUAAAGAGGAAGCUUCUCAUGCCACCAUCUCUUGCCUAAACAAUGUAUUUCUUCCAUAAUUUGAGACCUGUGUAGAAACAUGAAAUGCUCAUAUGAAUCAAUGCACUCCUAUAAUUUUUUACCAUAAUUUUCUACCAUACUGGCCUUGCCAUAGAGAUGUUUCAUGUAAUUUUGUUUUGUUUCGUUUCUUUUCCUUUCUUUGAUUGUUUUUCCUUCUUUUUUAAAAAACAAAAACAAGAGGAAAACAGAUGGGGGAAGAGAAUUGCCAGAAGGAAGAUGGCCCCAGAGGGUCAGAAGAGGGAUGGCCCAGACCUGCUGUCUCCCUCUUAGUUUGGCCCCACCCACCACCAAAAAAAGAAAGAAAGAAAAAGAAAAGAAAGAUGACAAGGAAAAAAAACCUCAAUCGUCCUCCUGGUCCUAAGACUCAACAUGUAUUUUGAAAACGAGUAGCAGAGGUGGUACUUCAGCUGAGCCAUCACGGAGGAGCAGGAAGGCUGUAACUCCAGAAAGAGGAAUCAAACUUGACAGCGGUUUGUGGGUUUGUUUCCUGGGGACCAUUGCUCAGAGGAAAAAAAAAAAAAGGAAGAAAAGAGAGAGCGAGAAGUGGGGGUGAGGUUUGAUUUCUCAUCGUGAAGUAGCUUUCCUUCUUUCUUUUCUUGAAUUGACAGCACAUUGCCAGGAAGCAGGCCUGUAGUGUAAAUUGUUAAAUUAGCACAUUCCUAAUUUUGGUUAAGACAAUUUUUUAGCACUGGUAGCAAAGGGGGAAAUCUUUAAGUCAACCAAUUUAACCCCACUUAUAUAAGAAAUACAGCUUAUAGCUAUAAUGAUUUUUUUUAAUAUGGCAUAGCGACGGUUAGUAUUUGAAUCUAAUAAGGCUUUAUACAGCUUAUCCAUGAGGAGCCAGAGCUACACAUCCAGAUGAGGAGCCAAAGACACAGUCCACUGCUAUAAACUACGUUGUAUUAAAUUUUUCAUUGCCAUCCUAGCUAAUAAACACCCUUUGUUAGCAAAGGAGGAGGACGCAGGCUUCCAGUUUUUCCUCCACUCAUUUACAUUUGAAAGGGAGUCUAUAUGCCUUCAAGAAUCCUGAAAAUAAAUCAUCUUGUAUUUUAAUAAUUAACUAAAAAGAAACUAAAGGUACAAAAAACUAGCCGUGUGUGGUGGCAGGCGCCUGUAAUCCCAGCUAUUCGGGAGGCUGAGGCAAGAGAAUUGCUUGAACCCGGGAGCCGGAGGUUGCAGUGAGCUGAGAUCCUGCCACUGAACUCCAGCCUGUGUGACAGAGCAAGACUCCGCCUCGUAAAAAAAAAAAAAAGAAAGAAAAAAAAGAAACUAGCCCUAAAAUUAUAUAAGCAAUACAUUUUCAUUCUUUCUUGAAUUCAUCUGUAGCCAUGUUUUGUAUUCAAAGGUGACACUAGCUUCUGUCACUCUCUCAGACCUUGGGUUGGGGGUUAGGCCACAUUUCCAUCUGAGCGACUUCGCAUCUGCUUUCUUCAUCUGAUCCUUUAAUUAAAUAUUAGAUGCACCCACUUGUUUUGAUGUCAAAAUUGCACCUUUCACCAUCAUCCUCAGGGUGCAUUCAGAUAGUUUUUAAGUCCAUAAAUCACCAGAGUAUUUUUUUAAACAUUAAACAUUACAUCAUAAUUACUAUUUUGAACGAUGGCAGGGGGUGAGGGGAUGGGAUGGGGGG
rnacentral:lncRNA from 1 species